rnacentral:rRNA from 1 species
CAACUGGGAUUAGAUACCCCACUAUUUAAAUUGUAAAUAUGUGUAUAUAUUAUAAUAUUAGUAUAAGGGAUCUGGAAAGUAAAAAAAUUUGGCGGUACUGUAGUCUUAUUAGAGGAACUUGUCACUUAAUCGAUAUUCCCCGAAUUAUCUUACUUAAAUUUUAUGUUAAUUUGUAUAUCGUCGUUUUAAUGAAAAUAUUUAUAUAAUAGGUAUUUUCUUAAUUUAUUAUUAAUGUAAUUCAGAUCAAGGUGCAGUUAAUAUUUAAGUUGUUAUGAGUUACAAUUGAAUUACUAAUUAUGGAUAAGUAGUGUUGAAAAUAUUACUUUGAAAGUGGAUUUAUAUG